AGAGUUUGAUCAUGGCUCAGAGCGAACGCUGGCGGCGUGCUUAACACAUGCAAGUCGAACGCGCAGCAUUCUGUAGCAAUACAGGGUGUGGGCGCGUGGCGAACGGGUGCGUAACACGUGGAUAACCUUCCGUCAGGUGGGGAAUAACCCAGUGAAAAUUGGGCUAAUACCGCAUAACAUCGCGAUGAGACAUCUUGUUGCGAUCAAAGGCGCAAGUCGCCGGAAGAGGGAUCCGCGGCCGAUUAGCUUGUUGGCGAGGUAAUGGCUCACCAAGGCAUUGAUCGGUAGCCGGACUGAGAGGUUGGCCGGCCACACUGGAACUGAGACACGGUCCAGACUCCUACGGGAGGCAGCAGUGGGGAAUCUUGCGCAAUGGGCGAAAGCCUGACGCAGCAACGCCGCGUGGGGGAUGAAGCUUCUCGGAGUGUAAACCCCUUUCGACCCGGAAGAAAAUCCGCAAGGGUUUGACGGUACGGGUAUAAGAAGCCCCGGCUAACUACGUGCCAGCAGCCGCGGUAAAACGUAGGGGGCCAGCGUUGCUCGGAAUUACUGGGCGUAAAGGGUCCGUAGGCGGUGUGGCAAGUCGGUAGUGAAAUCUCUGGGCUUAACUCAGAGGCUGCUGCCGAAACUGCUGUGCUAGAGUGCGAGAGAGGCGAGUGGAAUUGCGGGUGUAGCGGUGAAAUGCGUAGAUAUCCGCAGGAACAUCCGAGGCGAAAGCGGCUCGCUGGAUCGCAACUGACGCUGAGGGACGAAAGCUAGGGGAGCAAACAGGAUUAGAUACCCUGGUAGUCCUAGCCCUAAACCAUCAGACUUGGGGUUUGCCCUGUACGGGGCAAGUCCCGUAGCUAACGCGUUAAGUCCUGCGCCUGGGGAGUACGGUCGCAAGGCUGAAACUCAAAGGAAUUGACGGGGCCCGCACAAGCGGUGGAACAUGUGGUUCAAUUCGACGCAACGCGAAGAACC
rnacentral:rRNA from 1 species